AGGGAUGCUUUCACACCAGUGCACGCCAAUGACUUGGAAAGCAGCACCAGUGUGAGGUGGAAGGCCUUCUGGCAGAUUUCAUGGGAUAUACAGAACUCCCAGAGGACUUCCCGGCAAGGGGCCAAGGACCUCGUCCCGCCUUGCCUGUUGAUGUAGAACAUUGCAGCGGUGUUGUACUUCCUUGCCAUCAAAGGGAAGAUCCUGCAUCCCAGACUGUGCCUCCACGGAGAGCCCGGACAGCAGUAGCCACGAUGCCCUGCACAUGGACACCGCCGAGGCCAUGGACCGAGCAGCCAUGUCGGCUGCAUCCAACGCUGCCAGCAGAGCAGCCUUUGUGGCAGUGGCACCC